GAUUGGUCAAAUGACCAAUUUGUGGAGGGAAAAUAUAAUAAUUGUGCUGCCUGUGUAAACAGAGCCUAAGACCCUGGAAUGACCAUAUUUUAGCCGUUGCAUGGAAGUUUUGCUAACGCUGUCAACCUCGUGAAGGAGAACCAAUUGCAAAGUUGCAGUUGGAGAAUGUAAAUAAUUUCUAACUAAUUUAAUUUCAAUACAUUUUAACCACUGUAGUUGACUAUAUCCUAAUAACACCUAUAGGUUAUUGGUAUUAUUUGUGGGGUUACUAAUUAUAUGCAUUGAGGUAGUAGCCUACCUGGUAAUAACUCACAUAUUUUGCGUCUUUGAAUACAUCAUAAGAAUGGCUCUCUAAACUUGCCCUUUUUGAGUCGAUGUGACAUUCGUUCAUAGUCAUGGUUAUCAACUGCACCACAGAAAUGGAACGUAAAUCACAGAAAAUUGAUGUUGUGGUGGCAGCUGCAGAGAAGUACUUGGAUGUACGAGAUUUUGCUGCGGCGGAGUUCGUGUGGGUUUUAAUGAUAGUGUCCUGUCCUAACCAGGCCGCCGGCCUGUUGUACGAUCAGGGCCGAGUAGUGGAACAGUGGUGAGGUUUUAAUGGUGUAGGGUUAGUUGGCAGAACAAAUUUUCUUCCAUUUUCCCACAUCCUGUUUCCCUUCCCUUUUGUGUCACAAAGUGUAAUGAAUUCCCAAUACAGAACAAUAUCUAAAAACCACAGGAGGUUGGUGGCACCUUAAUUGGGGAGGACGGGCUCGUGGUAAUGGCUGGAGCGGAAUAGGUGGAAUGGUAUCAAACACAUGGUUUGAUGCCAUUCCCUUUGUGCCGUUCCAGCCAUUAUUAUGAGCCGUCCUCCCCUCAGAAGCCUCCACUGGUGGAAACAUAAGGAUAGAUAAGAGAAAUACAGGAAUAGGGAGGAAGUGAAUGGCCUCACACUUCAGUACAGUAGGUGGCGGUGUAUGCACUUUUCAGUUGGUUGCAAUCCUCCAAUACCAAAAUGUAAAAAAGAAGAAGAAGUAGGUGAAGAAGAAGAAGAUGGCACGUUGAGUGAGUUCGGUGAGAGUGAGUGGAAGACAGCAACGACAAAAAUUCAGCAAAAACACAGCAAAAAUGGAAGAGCAUUGUGGAGUGAAGAGCUUUGGUUUUCGGAGCAGAGGACCAAUAAAAGGCGUUGUAUCGGGAGUAUUGUUGGACGUUGAGGCUUCAUAAGCUGAAGAUUCCAGCGUCGGAUGGAGCACGUCACCCGAACCCUGUAGUGAAUGGAAAAAAGCAGGAAAGGGUGAUUCUUCACAAAACUUGAACACGUUUUUUUUCAUAACAUUUUAUUUACAUGAGGGUCUUUUGAGGGAAGGAUUGUUAUUAUUAUUUGACACUUGUAUAUUAAAGCAUAAUUGAGAAAUAAUUCAUUUAAGUUGGAAUACAGGACGUCGCCUGAUGAUCAAGGCCCUGAUUGGUGAACCACUGUGCUGGACAUUUUUUAUGUUUCAGAUUUUCUAAUAACUCAUUUCUGUGUUCUAGUCAUGUGCUUUACUGUGUUCAUGCAAGUGACUGACUGAACGAAUCCUCACUAUCUGCAGCUGCAAUUUGGCAGCAUGCCCAGACCUUUGUUUUGAGAACCAAAGAUAUCUCAGUUUCAAGGCCUCAGCUUAGGGAGAAGAAGCCGCAUGAGCUAUUGGUCUGUCACAUGUUAUGAACCAGUAUUUGUCGGUCACAUGAAAGAACCAAAAUGGUAAUGAUGAAUUAAUUAUGCUAAAUCAUGUAAAUAGAACUUGUCUGUGUAUAGCCGUAUACAAGACAACUGCUGGGACUGCCCCAGCAGAGCUCCUGAUUGACAUGUGUGCUAUGGUGCAUUGAGUUGGUUGGAACCUCUCCAGCGCUCUGAUAAGAAAGGAUGAUUUAUUUAAGAUUGACUUCACGUGUCCCUUGUGGUAAUUUCCAAAUUUCCACACCGUGGCGGUGAAUUUCCACUAUACCACUGAUCCAUUCACCACUCUUUCACUGUUGCCAAGGUUAGGGAUACUCAGACACGGUGCUUUUAACAUACAGUGUUUUCAACAUACAUAUACUAGAUUGUGCAUGUUCAUUUACACAAUAAUUCAUAUUCAACAGUCCUCAACUAGGAUUUGACCUCCCAACCUCUUUGUUUACGGUACACCAAUCUUCCUGCUAUGGUACCAUGUCCGUGUCUUGUGUCAGUUAAUCUGACCCUACAGAUCAUUGAUUUGAUUGACUUAUUUCAGCAAUUGAAGGGCUUUCAGUGUAGUUGUCUAAUGUUGAUGGGGCAUGUUAACAUGCUUUAAUGAUACUCCUGAACACGGGUUGGAACCGGUUCAGGGAACAGAAAAGUGGAAAAUAACAACAUUAUUUAAGGAACAGAACCAGAAGCCGAACGUGAUCUAUACAUUUCCGGAACAGAACCGUUAUUUUAAAAGCAUUGGAACCGGUUAAUAACCUUCUUUAACAUUCUAGCCAUUUUUUCCCCAGACUUUUUCCAGUCCCACAGUGCAACAGCGCAAAGCCGUCACUCUGUCACUCAGAAACGUAUUCCAGCGCCUGCCUGCCAGCUGGAAGUCUUUGCCAGUGGGUGUAAGUGUGUGUAAGCUAUGACCUGCCUGUCCCCUCUGAAACAUAGGCUACUGUAGCCUACUGACAAAGGAACAAACAUUCAUUCAGAAAUUAGGGAGAUGUUUAAUCAGAGAAUAAUGGAUUGACUUUUUCAAUGGUAGAUAAGGAUACUAUAGUUAGUUAUCACGUGUCACAUUGGAUUUAUUAACUACAAAAAGGUAAGAAGUGUUUUUCAUUCUAGUGCUGCUCUGCACACACAAGCUUGUUAGCUGGUAGGCCAGAACUGGUAGGCCAAAAAACUGCCUAAUUGCCAGGUGAAAAGCAGCCUUUUAUUCAAUUUUUUAUACACAAACACCAGAAUGAGAAAAGGCUGACCUGAGAACUGGUAAACUAACACUAACUAUGGGUGAAUAACUGCUUAUUGUAAAGUCUACACAAUGUCUCCCCCUUGUGGGAGCAAGAAUACAUUGUUUGUUUUUUGUUGGAUAGGUUAAUAAUGGGAUGGAAAUCCUUUUGAGUUACAUGUCCUUAGGAAAAGCAUAUAUUAGCAUAACAAGGUUGUUGGUUGAAGUUUAUGUAUUUAUCUCUUUGUUCAAUUAAUGUCAGGUGUAUUCAUAAUUUACUCAAACGUAAGGCUAUUUUCCUGUAAUUGCAAACGAUUUAAUGCAGACUUUUACUUUCAACAAGAGACUCAUGCUUGUUAUUCCGAUCUAGCUUUUUGGAAAAAAUAUGUGGGUUAACGAUAUCAGGUUAUCAUAUGGCAACAACCACUCUGCAGCUGUAGCAGUUUUAACAGGUGCAUUUAAAGGGAAGGUCAUCAGUACUAAGACUCACCAC
rnacentral:lncRNA from 13 species